rnacentral:rRNA from 1 species
AACGAACGCUGGCGGCAUGCCUAACACAUGCCAGUCGAACGAGACCUUCGGGUCUAGUGGCGAACGGGUGCGUAACGCGUGGGAACCUGCCCUUAGGUUCGGAAUAACUCCCCGAAAGGGGUGCUAAUACCGGAUAAUGUCUGCGGACCAAAGAUUUAUCGCCUUUGGAUGGGCCCGCGUUGGGUUAGCUAGUUGGUAGGGUAAAAGCCUACCAAGGCGACGAUCCAUAGCUGGUCUGAGAGGAUGAUCAGCCACACUGGGACUGAGACACGGCCCAGACUCCUACGGGAGGAAGCAGUGGGGAAUAUUGGACAAUGGGCGAAAGCCUGAUCCAGCAAUGCCGCGUGAGUGAUGAAGGCCUUAGGGUUGUAAAGCUCUUUUACCCGGGAUGAUAAUGACAGUACCGGGAGAAUAAGCUCCGGCUAACUCCGUG